AAAGCCUGUCCACGCCCCCUGUUGGUGGACAGCGCUACUGCAGUUUGAUGUCAGUUGAGUGAGUGCUAAUGCGUUUUGAGGUCUGUUUAGAAAGGCAGCGGACUUUUUAGUUAUUCCUUUCAUCAUUCUGUCUGGUUUGUGCGUUCGUGAGGAAAAAGUGAGUAUUUUUGAACAUUUACAAGAGUAUGUUGUAUGACUACAUACAGGAACAAUAUGUGUGUUAGUUUAACUGUAUAGUUUCAUUAUUUGAAUUGAAGUUAUGUAAGAGAUGUCAUUAAAGCCUAAUUUUCCUUUCUUCGCGGCGCACUCGAUUGAGAUUACUUUGCUAAUUAUCGCCGAUAAUUUAUGAUAACAUUGUUGUAUAUAUCACUUUGUGUGUUCUAUGAGUGUUUAUAUCUUAUAGUUGACUGUUACAAUUUAGUGUAGGAGAUUAUUGUGAAGUGAAUCUCCGUUUAUGUUCUCCGUGAGCUAUGUGCAGUUAAUCACCUCGUGAUUUAUUCAAUACUCCAUUUUGUAGUCUAUUUGUAAUGUUGGUAACAGCUACAAUUAAUAUUUGUGCACUUUAAGUUAAAAGCUGCUGUUUCUGCUAUUAGUGACUAUAUUAACCACUGUUGAUUAAUAUAUUAUUGCUAUAUGGUAUUGCUAUAAUGAUUAUUGCUAUAGUUAAUUUAUCUUCACAUCAUUGUUUUACAGCUUAAAUUGAUAACCUCAUUAUAUGUUUAUCUUUUCUUGUAGACCACAAACUCAAACACAAAACAAAUACCAAUACAACUAAAUAAAGCUCUGUUAAUUAAACAUACAUCCUCUGGAGCCUGAUUCUCUGACCGGAGUCAAGUCCAUAUCUGCCGCCUCAACCAGUUAAAUUGUGGGAGGUCACGCCCCUCCAAUACAUGGUCCUUCGAGCCGGAUUGAGUGCACACUCUUGACAAUAUGGACAGCGCGGCUGCUACAGACAUACCAGCAGAGAACAGGGAACGUCCUCACAGAGAACAUCGUCCACCUGCUCACUUGGCAGAUUAUGAAGUUGAAUAUGUACCCCGACAGGAUCAUCCCCCACCUGCUACAUCCUGCUCCAAAAGCAAGCACAGUGGCAAAUCGAGGACAACAUCCAAGAGAAGCAUAUCCAGCUUAGGCUCCAAGUGCAGUGGGCGGACCUCAGUAUCUGGAGGUUCUGCCCCCAUUCUUGCUUUAUCUACUGUACACGCCGCCAUUCUGGAGGAGAAGGUUAAAGAGAUGGAGCUUAAAGAGGUUCAGCGUCAGAUAGAAGAGGAUUCAUGUGCUGACAUAGAAUGUCAAAGGCUCGAGCUUCAGGCUAAGGAGGCCCAGCGACAACAAGAGGAAGCCCUCAAAGCUAAAGAAGCCCUAACAAAGCAGUUGGAGCGCCAGCGUCGCCUCAAGAAGGCUGAGAACAGAUUGGAGGUAGCAAAGCUAGUUUCGUCCUUGCUUCAAGAACAGAAUGCAGAGGCUCCACCGGAUGAUUUCCCAACCCCAGAUAGCUUUGUUGCUCCUCCCCAGUCACAAGCCGACAAGGCCACAGUGAUAUCUUCCUCUCACCAACGACAUUCAACUCCUCAGCAUGCAGCUGUUCUUUACUCUGCCCCAACAUCCACGGGUAUAACACCAGUGCUACCUUUAGCGCCCUUACAGGCAACAUCACUUCCCUUGGCUUCCUCAGCAGCCCAACCUGCAAUGGCACCUCCAAUCUUAGCACAGCAACCUCUAGCAGUUCCCACUAUGGCACAAAAUAUUGGCGCCACAGCCAACCUUAUGCUGCCAGCACAUCAAGGUGCGCAUCACUCCCGGUCAGGACAUGCUACACAUUACCAGAGUCCGACACUGGCAUACGCUGCCUCCCAACCCCCACAGGUUGCAACAGCCCUCACGGCCUCGUAUCCAGCAUAUAUGCAAGCCCCCGGAGCUGAGAUGCUGAUUGCUUCUGCCUAUGGCAUUCCUAAGCCUACUUUACCAGUGUUCGAGAGUGGCCGUGAGAGUGACUUUGCUUUACUCAAAAUGGCUCUAGACAACUUACUCAAUGCCCAUGGACACCUCAGCGAGCAAUAUAAAUUCCAAGUGUUAAUUGGCCACCUGAAGCUUCCCAGCGCACUACAGCUUGCUAAGGCAUAUAUGUAUGAUGCAAGACCAUACACUAUGGCUCUGCAUGCAUUGCAAGAAAAGUAUGGCCAACCAAGACAGCUUGUCCAAUCGGAACUAGGUGCCAUUCUUAACAGCCCAGCACUGAAAUACGGUGAUGCCAAUGCCUUUGACACCUUCGCAUUGUCAGUUCAGUCCUUGGAGGGGAUGCUGAGGACCCUAGAAGGAGAGAAUGGAUAUGAGCUGCGUUGUGGCUCGCACGUGGACCGGCUCCUGAGUAAGAUGCCUCCUGCUUAUCGUGAUGGGUUUGUUGAGUACUGCCUGAGUCACCACAUUCUGCAGACUGGUACAGAUAUAACCUACACUCUCCCGGAUCUAGCGACUUGGUUGCAAGUUAAGUCACAAGCUAAGCGUAUCUCCAGUCGAGCAGCAUCCUUGUAUCAGAGUGAAGUACCCAAGCCAGUCAAGAAAGAUCCACACAAUACUCAUUCCAAGGUGCGACCAGCGUCAGUCUUUCACACAAAGGAAGGGCAGGUAGACACAGCAGAGCUGGUUAGAGUCAAACAUGCAGCUAAACCCAAGCCUUAUUGCCCUUAUUGCGAUAAUAAGGAGCACUACCUUAACUCCUGUGAAGAAUUCAAGAAGUUAACCACCAGCCAGAUCGUCAAGUGGAUUAAAGAGGGGAGAAGGUGCUGGAGAUGUGGUAGAGGCCAUGCUGUGGAUAGCUGUACCCUUAAGCGGCCUUGCAAAGUCUGUAAGGAGACACAUCUCACUAUCCUGCAUGAGUCAGUCCAAGAGGUGCAGCACUCCGUUCUCAUGGUCAGCCUACCACCUACUAGGAUCUAUCUGGACCGCCCUAACCGAUCCCAGAAGGUCAUGUUAAAGGUCAUUAAAGUCCUCUUGCACAACGGCGACCUUACAAUGGAAUCGUAUGCUGUACUUGACGACGGAUCAGAACGUAGUAUUGUUCUCCCACAGGUGGUGAAUCAGUUGAAGCUUCUCAAACAUCCAGAGACUCUUCCCUUGCGGACUGUUCAUCAAAGGGUCACUCAGCUUGAUGGUUCAUCAGUUACUUUUCAAGUGUCCCCCAUUCAUGCACCUAUGGAGAGGUAUCAGAUCUCACAUGCCUUCACUGCUGAUAGCUUGUGCCUCUCUGACUUUACCUACCCAGUGGCUGCCCUACAAAGGAAAUACAAGCACCUGAGAGAGCUCCCCUUAGCUCCAGUGGACCGGGCUCAACCAUUGCUUCUCAUUGGGUCUGAUAUGCCACAACUACUUACCCCCAUUCAACCAGUGCGCAUCGGACCAACUGGUAGCCCUAUUGCUGUGUGCACUAAACUAGGCUGGUCACUUCAGGGUCCGACGACACUCACCCAAGACACAGUGACAGAGCAACAGUGUCUACACCUGGCCACAGCACCAUCUGAGGAGCUUCUCCGAAAUGUUGAGCGGCUUUGGCAGCUGGACACACUUCCCUACAGUGCUAAGGUGGUCACCCGUUCCAAGCAAGAUCAGCGAGCUCUCACUCUGCUUCAAACAGCUACAACGCGGGUAGACAUCAAUGGCACCCUGCGCUACGCCACACCACUGCUCUGCCGUACUCCGGAAAUAACUCUUCAUGCUCCCAAAGAAGCUGUACUGCCUAGUCUUCGCAGCACAGAACGUAGACUUGCCAGAGAUCCUAAGAAAGCAGAGUCCUACUGCAAUGAGAUAAGGAAGCUAGAACAAGCUGGAUACGUGGCUAAAAUCUCUUCAGAUCAAGCUGACGAAUCUGCCAAGUCCUGGUUUAUUCCCCACCAUAUGGUCCAUCAUAACGGGAAGGAUCGGAUCGUCUUUAACUGCUCGUACUUGUAUCAAGGACAGUCAUUGAAUGAAUUACUCCUGCCUGGACCUACCUUAGGACCGACCAUGCUUGGUGUUCUUCUCAGGUUCCGGCAGCACUCAGUGGCAGUGAGUGGAGACAUAAAGAGUAUGUUUCACCAGAUCCGCCUGCUGGCCACUGACAAGCCGCUGUUGCGGUUCCUUUGGAGAGAUAUGAAGAGGGAGCAAGAGCCAAUCAUUUACGAAUGGCAGGUGUUGCCUUUCGGAACGACCUGCAGUCCGUGUUGCGCAAUCUAUGCACUGCAGCGUCACAUCCAGGAACACGGAGAACAAGCUCUACCAAAGGACACAGUACAGCAGUCGUUCUACGUUGACAACUUCCUACAUAGCUCCUGCACCGUAGAAGAAGCCAAAGAUCUGGUUGACAACCUGCGGAAGUUACUUUUGGAUGGUGGUUUCGAGAUAAGGCAAUGGGCAAGCAACCUACCUUCGGUUAUUGAGGAUCUUCCCCCUGAAGCUAGAUCAGCAAGCAGUGAGCUUUGGUUGUCUAGGACCAGUGGCGACCUCCAAGAGCCAACCCUCGGCUUGAGAUGGAAUUGUCUAAGCGACACAUUAGGGUACAAACAUCGACCGGUGGAACCGUCCGAACCUACCAUGCGGACCUUGUAUAAGAUCCUGGCUAGCCAGUAUGACCCGAUAGGUUUCAUAGUGCCAUUUACUACCAGGAUCAAGGUUCUCAUACAGGACUUGUGGAAGCAAGACAUCGGCUGGGAUGACCCAAUACAUUCCCAGACUUUGCGGGAUCAGUGGCUCAGAUGGGAAGCGGAACUCCCGAACCUACUUCACCUGGAGCUUCCUCGACCCUACACUCCAGUCUGUGCGGACAACCCUGCUUCGACAAGACAGCUCCAUGUCUUCUGCGACGCUUCAGAAAGAGCUUAUGGUUCUGUCGCUUAUCUGCGCACAACUGAUAACGCAGGCCAAAUCCAUGUCUCCUUUGUGCUUGCCAGGUCUCGCGUGGCACCUAAAAAAAACCUGUCCAUGCCUCGCCUUGAGCUGUGUGCAGCUCUCACUGGUGCCCAACUGGCCAGUGUUCUUCAAACUGAGCUCACUUUGCCCAUUGAACAAGUCUUUCUUUGGUCUGAUUCUACCACGGUGCUGCACUGGCUAAGGUCUGAUUCGUGUCGCUACAAGGUUUUCGUCGGGACUCGUGUAGCAGAAAUCCAAACGCUGACAGAUGUGACAAACUGGAGGUAUGUGGAUUCAGCAAGAAAUUCGGCCGACGACAUCACCAGGGGUCUGACUUUGAAGGAGUUGGCAUGUCCCCACAGAUGGACUCAGGGACCAGACUUUCUGCAUAGACCUUCAGAUGAGUGGCCAGUCAUGCCUACCCCCAGUACAGAGACUGAGGAAAGUGAGCUCAGGAAGUCUGCAUUCAUUGGCAUCGUGUCAAUGGCAUCUAAAUCACAACUGCCUGACUCAGGUCAAUUUGACACCUGGAAAGACCUUGUCAAAGCUGUUGUUCAGUCCUUUCAUGGGGCGGCCCCCACUGACUCCAGUCAGUCCUAUGAUGCAGCUGACUUCAUCAAGGCGGAGAAGAUCCUUCUGGCACAGGCCCAAAUGGAUUCAUUUCCUGACGAAGUUAAGGCCCUUACUUCCAAUCAACCUGUCCUGCCUGACAGUCGGAUUGGUUCUCUUUCUCCGGAAUAUGACCAAGACACAUCACUCAUACGAGUUGGGGGUCGUCUGCGCCACACUGAACACCUAGAAAGGGAUGCCAUACAUCCUAUUGUCUUGGAUCCCAGCCAUCACAUUACCAAGCUACUGAUCCAAGAGUUUGACUGUAAGCUUCAUCACCCUGGACCAGAGAGGGUAUUAGCGGAGUUACGUCGACAGUAUUGGAUACUGCGGGGACGGGAAGCUGUACGGAAACACCAGCACGCUUGCCGAGACUGCCAGUUUUGGAGGGCAAAGCCGGAAAUCCCAAAGAUGGCUGACCUCCCGCAAGCACGUCUACGCCUUUACAAGCCGCCGUUCUACUCAACAGGAAUGGAUUGUUUUGGCCCAUUUAUUGUAAAGAUUGGCCGACGGAACGAGAAGAGGUGGGGCAUUGUGUAUAAGUGCAUGACCACGAGAUGUGUUCACCUUGAUUUAUUGGAAUCUCUGGAUACAGAUGCCUUCUUGAUGUCCCUGCGACGUUUCAUUGCUCGACGUGGGAAGCCUUUUGAGCUAUUGUCAGACAAUGGCACAAACUUUGUCGGAGGGGACAGGGAGCUGCAAGAGGCAUUCAACACCAUGGGCCCACAGUUGCAGCAACAAUUGGCAGAGCAGAGAAUCUCUUUCCGCUUCAACCCACCAAGUGCUCCUCACUUCGGUGGGACCUGGGAGAGAGAAGUCAAGUCAGUUAAGACAGCUUUGAAGGUCAUCCUCAAAGAGCAGUCGGUGCCAGAGACUGUGCUGCGGACAGUCCUCACUGAAGUUGAGGGUAUUAUGAAUGCGAAACCUUUAGGCUACGUGUCUGCUGACAUUGCUGACCCGGAUCCCAUUACGCCGAACAUCCUGAUUAUGGGACGCAGAGAUGCAUCACUUCCUCAAGCUCUGUACGACCCCCACAACCUGCUGGGGAAGCGACGAUGGAGACACAGUCAGGUGUUGGCUGACAAUUUCUGGUCUGCGUUCAUACGCAACUACCUGCCCAGUUUACAAGAGAGGCAAAAGUGGAGGACGGAUAGCAAAGAGCUUAGUAAUGGACAAGUGGUACUUAUUGUGGAUCCCCAACUACCACGUGCCCUUUGGCCAGUUGGCACGGUUACAGAGACUUAUUCAGGAUCGGAUGGCUGCAUACGGACUGCUGCUGUUCAGGUCAAGGAUAGGACCUAUGUACGUCCUGUGGCCCGACUGGUAAAACUGCCCAAAUUAGAAGACGAAGACGGACCUGCUGACAGACUUUCCUCGUGAUAUCAAAUGUCCUGAUGGACAUUUGGGGGCGGCUGUGUUGGAAAGCCUGUCCACGCCCCCUGUUGGUGGACAGCGCUACUGCAGUUUGAUGUCAGUUGAGUGAGUGCUAAUGCGUUUUGAGGUCUGUUUAGAAAGGCAGCGGACUUUUUAGUUAUUCCUUUCAUCAUUCUGUCUGGUUUGUGCGUUCGUGAGGAAAAAACCACAAACUCAAACACAAAACAAAUACCAAUACAACUAAAUAAAGCUCUGUUAAUUAAACAUACAUCCUCUGGAGCCUGAUUCUCUGACCGGAGUCAAGUCCAUAUCUGCCGCCUCAACCAGUUAAAUUGUGGGAGGUCACGCCCCUCCAUU